rnacentral:rRNA from 1 species
AGUGAACGCUGGCGGUAGGCCUAACACAUGCAAGUCGAACGGCAGCACAGUAAGAGCUUGCUCUUACGGGUGGCGAGUGGCGGACGGGUGUGGAAUACAUCGGCAUCUACUUUUUCGUGGGGGAUAACGUAGGGAAACUUACGCUAAUACCGCAUACGACCUACGGGUGAAAGCAGGGGAUCUUCGGACCUUGCGCGAUUGAAUGAGCCGAUGUCGGAUUAGCUAGUUGGCGGGGUAAAGGCCCACCAAGGCGACGAUCCGUAGCUGGUCUGAGAGGAUGAUCAGCCACACUGGAACUGAGACACGGUCCAGACUCCGACGGGAGGCAGCAGUGGGGAAUAUUGUACAAUGGGCGCAAGCCUGAUCCAGCCAUACCGCGUGGGUGAAGAAGGCCUUCGGGUUGUAAAGCCCUUUUGUUGGGAAAGAAAAGCAGCAGGUUAAUACCCCGCUGUUCUGACGGUACCCAAAGAAUAAGCACCGGCUAACUUCGUG